GAUGAACGCUGGCGGCGCGCCUAACACAUGCAAGUCGAACGAUUAAAGCACCUUCGGGUGUGUAUAAAGUGGCGAACGGCUGAGUAACACGUGGGCAACCUGCCCCUUUCAUUGGGAUAGCCACGGGAAACCGUGGAUAAUACCGAAUACUUCGAGACUUCCGCAUGGAAGACUCGAGAAAGCUCCGGCGGGGAGGGAUGGGCCCGCGGCCUGUUAGCUUGUUGGUGGGGUAACGGCCUACCAAGGCAAUGAUGGGUAGCUGGGUUGAGAGAGCGACCAGCCAGAUUGGGACUGAGACACGGCCCAGACUCCUACGGGAGGCAGCAGUGGGGAAUCUUGCACAAUGGGCGAAAGCCUGAUGCAGCGACGCCGCGUGCGGGAUGAAGGCCUUCGGGUUGUAAACCGCUUUCAGCAGGGACGAGGCGAAAGUGACGGUACCUGCAGAAGAAGCCCCGGCUAACUACGUG
rnacentral:rRNA from 1 species